rnacentral:rRNA from 1 species
UACGGAGGGUGCGAGCGUUAUCCGGAUUCACUGGGUUUAAAGGGUGCGUAGGUGGGCAGGUAAGUCAGUGGUGAAAUCUCCGGGCUUAACCCGGAAACUGCCAUUGAUACUAUCUGUCUUGAAUAUUGUGGAGGUGAGCGGAAUAUGUCAUGUAGCGGUGAAAUGCUUAGAUAUGACAUAGAACACCAAUUGCGAAGGCAGCUCGCUACACAUAUAUUGACUCUGAGGCACGAAAGCGUGGGGAUCAAACAGG